CUGCUGGGUAGAUUGCAAAUCAGCUUGCCUUGGCCUGAACUGCAGUGCACUUUGAAAGAAUGGAUUCUGGCUACUUGUGUGACUUCAAAGUCAAGCAUCGGAGAAGAGGAUUCCUUCUGAUUGCCAGUAACAAAGCAGAUGUGUCGAAUUGCAACUUCUAUCAUUUCCAGGCAGCAAGAUGCUGUUGAUUUGAAAAGAGGCAGUCUAUUAUAUCUGAAAGUAACAAAUUGCUAAGGAUUGAAAACCAUCUUGAAUUAGCACUUCUGAAGUCUCCAGCAACCUUGAAACAUUGGCAAUUAUUUUUCUAUGCAUCACAUGGGAAAACUUUUCAAUUCAUAACUGACUUUUAUCUAUUUUUAUCUAUCUAUUUCAAGGCUUUAAUUAAAUGAAAAUGAAAUAAAAGAACUUUUCUUUUUCCUUGAAUUUGCCCAUAGUUUUUGGAAGCACAAUUAUUGGCACAUCACUAAGAAGCCAAAGGCAGUCUUUGAUGCAGGAAAAGAGGUGUGUCUCUGAACUGGCAAAUAUAUGAUAGAUAAAUUUAACUAGAAUGAUUUCUGAAUGUUCUAUACAAAUGAUGGUCUUUAAUUCUAUUAUCUUCUUAUUUUGGUUUUUUUGUUAUUCUUUUUAUUUUAUUAUUGCAUUAUUUUCUUCUUUUGUUGUGUUUUGCUUUCAUGCCUUUCUUUCUUUUUUUCUUUUUAAUGCUUCCAUUGAAUUGUAAGCCAUCUAGAAUUGCUUUUGUGAGUUGGAUGGCUAUAGAAAUCAAGUCAAAAUCAAUUUGAAUCAAGGACUUCUUAAUUCUUAAGUCAGUCUCUUAGGCUCUCUUCAUCAGUUUCAGAUGAAAAGUUGCUGGCACUAUCAAUCCAAAAGUGUUUUGCGGUGAUUCAGUCUUACCCUUUGUAAUGAAUUUUCCUUAGAAAUGAAAGAUAUGCAGGAAACAUGGGUGAACAAUACCUGGAUUGCUAUAAAAUACAUCUGUGUAUUCUUUUAAAAAAUGUUAAAAAGAAAUGUGCUGGAUUUCACAUGGAUUUCACUCUGGCACUAAUUAAAGCAGCCAUGCCUUAUAUAUGGCUUCUAUGCAAUUAUUAAAGCAGUAACAUCUUUUUGAAGGUUCUCUAGAAGCUGGAAAAAGAGAUGUGGCUGCUUUAAUGAAUAAUAGAGAGACUAUGUACUUGGGUGAGGUCAGAAGAUCUUCUUCCAAAAUAUUUUGAAGUACGCAAAAUACAACUGUAAAAGUCCUUGAAUGAGGUGUGGUGAUUGCCAAUCAAAGAAUUCUCUUGAAGCUUCUUUUAACCACCAAAUUGCAAAAACCAGAUAUUAUAUUGUCUAAUAAAGGGCUUCCCAAAAUGAAAAAUAUAACCUUGGGGAGGUACAGACAGAAUCUAGGGGGGAAGUGAAGACAUUUCUUGUUAUUCGUUGUUUACCAAAAUUUCAUUGAUUUGUUUUCAUUGCUUAUUUAUAUUCAUUUUAGUAUUUGGAUUUUAUUGCAAAAAAAAUUAGGAAUGGAACUAGUCACUUUUUGAAAAUGAUUUGUAAGAAAUGCUUCCAACUUCAUAUAAGGGUAACAUAUUUUUGCUAUUAACUUUAAUGAGUGGAUUAAUUAAAAUUGAGGCAUCUUUUUUCAGGCUACAUUAAUGGGUAGUAUGCAGGUGCUUUCCUUCCACUUACAUGAAGUCCUAAAUUAUUUUUUUCAAAGUUUUAAAAAAGAUGUAAAAACAACAUUAAGGCCUGUACUUUAAAAACAAAUGAGAAAAAUUCUUCAGCCAAAUUACUUUAAAAAAAAAAUGUGUAUGCUCAUUCAGGUACAAGAAUAUAAGGCCCAGUAAAAUAGCUUUGAGUGAAGAUAGGAGUUUGGAAAAGGGAGCACAGAUUUCAUAGGUUUAGCAAAUUUUCUUCCCCCAACCCCCUUUUUGUCAUAUGACUGAUCACUGGGGUUUCACGUAGUUGUUUGUUCCAACACUGAUUUCCUGAGUAUUAUCUAUUGAUCUAGCCUUGGGUGUCUAGACCAGUUAUUUCAAGAAGGUUCCUGUUUAUUCCAAGAUAUGUGAUAUUGGGAGAAAAUGAAAUGGACCAAGGACUCUUCUCCUUCCCUGAAGAAAUUAUAGUGACCAACUGCUCUGUAAGGAAGAACAAGAAAGCCAUUAAUGCAUGGAUUUUUCUCACAUGAUUAUAAUGGGAAUCAUGAACCUGCUGCCAGAGGCUUCUUUCCUUUUGUGUUGUAUCUUCCUCUUUUGCAAUCUAUCUCUGAAGGGGUGGAAUGUUUGGUUUUCAUUAUUAAUUAAACCACUUGGAUAGCUUUUAUGGUGAAAGCACUGGCUUUUGAUACAUAAAUACAAAUAUUAAAAACACAAGCCAAACAGAAACCCGUAAUACUCACAAAAAUCCCAAGAGAAUUAUUGGAUCAUUAAUUUCCACUGGGAGAUAUGAAAAAGAAUCAAAAUACAUCUCUGAGACAGCUUUGCAAAUUAUACUCCUCAAAUUAAAGCCUUCCUAAAAGACAGCAUGGAUUGUGUCAGGGAUAUUCAGAGAUGGAAUGGAAAAUGAACGCCAUUCCAAAGGAUGAGAUAGCAAAAGAACACCUAUGCUUCCAUAGUCCCACGUGGUGGUAUUAUUUUGUCACUGGACUUGUGGCUGGCCAACUCUGCCAGAUUUUCUAGGACAAAAAAAAAUCAGUUGUAGAAAAGGAAUCAUGUAGCUAUCCAGUGUCUGAAUAUGAAUUUUAUAGAUGAUAACCAACAAUUUCUUGAAUUGUUCCUGAAAAUCAGUUCAGCUUCUGGACAAAUUGAGAUGUACUCAUAAUUACUUGGACCACUGAAUUCUGGACCAUCUGAACUUUCCAAGUAGUCUUCACGAUAUAGUGAUCCAAACAAAAACUAUCUGAAGUAUAUAUGGCCAUGAAAAGUCACACCUGAUCCAGGAAAGGACAUAAAUGGCACAUGAGAUGUAUUUAUGGAAAAAUUUCCUUGGCUACAAUUGCCAGUUCAUUUGGCAAGAUGUAAAAGUCUAGGAGGGCCUUGCAUUAUGUGGCAGUUCCAUUUGGGGAAGUACAACCACAUGAACAACUAAGGUCAUAAAGGAGCAAGAGAGCAAUUGAUAUUGCAGCUUACUUUAGAACUUUUUCUUUAAGUAGCUACAAAAACAUUUCAAAGUGAACACAAUUUUAGGAUAAAAAAAAAUACUGUCCAGAGGGAGGCCUUUAUUUUUUUUAAACUAUUGAUCUUUUAAUAAUAAUUAAUAAUUAAUUUAACAAAUGUUCAAGCUAAAAGCCCCCCCCCACAUGAAUUUUGAAAUAUAUAACAGGCGGUUUGGUCAAUAAGAUUAGAUAAGAAGGACUGAGUGCUUAAAUUCAGAUUUUAUUUUUUAUCCAUGCCAAAGAGAAUCCCGAAAUGAAGUGCGGAUAAAUGAACGAAAAGGAAGAAUUGGGGUGAAGGAAAAAGGAGUUUGGGGUUUUCCAAAAUGAAUAGAUAUGAUUGGGUUAUGCUAGAAAAUUGAAAGGGCACUGAAGGAAAUCAAGGAGCCUCAGGAGAAAAAUAUCACACAGAUAGUUCUGUAACAACAAAGCUAUGUAUAAUGUCAGACACAGAGAACCUAUAUUUUUCUUGAUGUUUAUAACUGCAGUUUCCAAAUUUCUAAACUGCUGAGCAUGGUAGCUGGGACUAUAGCAAGUUUAUAUCAACAAUAUUUAGAUGGCCACAAAAUUGUCUAAUUUUGGAGAAUAGUUUAUUUCCCUUUCAAAUCUGAACAGGAACUGAGACAGACACAUUACUUACUGCUAUAGGAAAGUACAGUUUAGGAUUUACUCAAAUUGCUGGUCCUUUUCCAAAGUAAGCUGGUGUUUCUGUGCUUAAACCAUAAUAUAAAUAAAUAAGAAGACAUAAUGGAUUUAUAUACUGCCCCCUAAUACAACCAUAUUUUAUUACUUUUUAAAUUUUAUUUAUUUUAAGUAUAUAGUUUAAGGUUUAGAAUCAACUGCUUAGAUUAAGAUCUUUUCACUUUCACUCAGAUAAGGAACAGCUAUCGAAACAACUUGCAAUAAACCCAGGUCAUUUAAAAUAUCUAGAUCUACUUUAAUGAAAUACCACCUAAACAAAAUAAUAUUGCUUUUUCCUGCUGUUUGAUUUUCCUAGCAAGCAUCUUAAGCUAAUACCCUGUUCUGCCAUAAAAUAAUUAAAUUAUGCUAUAGCCAUAAAAUGCACCAUUUAAGUUAACUGAGAAUUUCAACAAACUGUACCAUGGGUGGUGGCAUGCUGAAGCCACGAACCUUUAUAAAUCAAUCAUCAACUGAUAAACAAUACAAUGAUUAACUUUCAGAACUGGUGUCCCCAAAGCUGAUUUCAUGGAAAUAUGCUGAGGGUGAAUAAUAUUGGAUCAUUUAUGAAGAAGUUGAAGAGCAAUGGGCCCAAGACAACCUUGAGGUGCCCCGCUGCAUGCUUCCCUCCAUGCAAAUAUAGUUCCACUGAGGACUACAUGCUGAGUGUGGUUGGUCAGCUGACUGUGAAUCCAUCUAGUAGUGGUACUCUCUAUCCCACAUUGUUCUAUCUUAUCAAGAAGUAGGCUGUGGUCUAUUUUGUCAAAUGAACUCCAAGCAUUUCUCUGAUUCACUAAUUUGUCAAGGUUCUUUAGAAAUAAAUCUUUAUUGUUGAGA